UUAGAAACAACCCCAACCCCUCUGCCCCUGAGGGAUUGCUGUCUUGUUCCACCAAACUGCCACAGGUAAAGCCUUCAGCAUGUCUUUAACUUUGCUUUUCUUAGGAAGGACCUCAGCUUCUGAGACUGAAGAGACUUCUCUGCAGCCAUGAGCAAACAGCAUGGGAAAGCAAGGGCAUGGGGGAAAAGAGAAGUUCUCCCAAAGGAGGGGUUUUAACAUGGCUGAAGAAGGGAAUUAAGACUUCAGAUUGAGGCUUUAGCACCAUGUUAGUAUUUCUUCAUCCCUGAGCUGGAAUGGUUUCUCACUUUGCACUGUGGAGAUGCAAAAGAUGUAUGAGGAUACAUCUUGUGGAGCAGAUACUGCACUGACCAUGAGGCUGUCCUGCAUCCCAUGGAAAGGGACCAGCCCAGCUCCCAGUGAAGACAUAAGAGAAACACAGAGAGAGCUGAGGAUCCACGGGGGAUGUGAGCAGCUACAGGAAUGCAGAACCUGGCACGGCGUGUCACUGAUCCCAGGGCUGGAGCUGCUGAAAUUGGAUUACUGAGGCUUUGCACAAAGCUCUCCCGAGCACACACCGCAGGACAUGAACUCAGGCUGGGAUUGUGGCAAUGCCAGGUGCUCCUUUCCCCCAGCACAGCCCUUUCGCCCUCCCUGCUGCAGGACACAGAGACUGAUAAAGGGUCAGAUAUAGAGGCUGAUAAAAGAACAAAGGGUCAGAUAUAGAGGCUGAUAAAAGGAUAAAGGGUCUGAUACAGAGGCUGAUAAAGGGUCAGAUAUAGAGGCUGAUAAAGGGUCAGACAUAGAGGCUGAUAAAAGGAUAAAGGGUCAGAUAUAGAGGCUGAUAAAAGGACAAAGGGUCAGAUAUAGAGGCUGAUAAAAGGAUAAAGGGUCAGAUAUAGAGGCUGAUAAAAGGGUCAGAUAUAGAGGCUGAUGAAGAGUCUCUCCCUGAGCUGCAGCAGCUGCAGCCCAGCCACGUGUGCAGCUGUGACCUUUCUGCAGGGGUGAUCACCUCCAGCAGCAGGGAGGAAAGGAGGGGGGGAAGAAGGGAGGGAAGGAGCUUCUCUCUGUGGCCUGAUUUGGCCGGGCUUAUCUGGAGGCUUAGAAGACACAGCAGAUGCUCCACGACUGGCAGCUGCUGGACACGACCAACUACCUGUGGACUGAUGCAGGGAAUUACACUUUUAAUGAAGGGAAAGUGAGGCACAGAGCCUCAUCUCCAGCCCCACAUUCAUCCCUAAAGUGUGUAUUAACCCUUUAGCCAGUGAAUCCCUCUGCAGACCAAAAUUGUUUUUCAAUGCAGUUUCCUGAAACCUCUCCAUCAGCCAGAGGCUGCUUUGGACUAAUCCAGGAAAUGAGGCAAGCAUUAAAAAAAAAUAUUGUGAGGUUAUGGAACACGAAAAACAUAUUGCCCAUAGUGUAAUUAUACUUGAAAUGGAUUAGGGGAAGUAGCUAAAAAAAUCUCUACUCUGAAAAAGAUAAUUUGGGAGCUUGCAAGAGGGCCUUGGGGAGGGUGCCUGCAGUUCUGAGUAGGGACAGUGAAUGUGCUUCAGAGCACGUAAGGAAAAGGUUCUGGAGUGAACACUAAAUGACAAAUGUGAUAAUCACUGUCCCAAACAUUUCACUUUCUAAAGCUUAAGAAAACUGGCAUUUACAUGAAUACCACGAGUCAGUAAAGUAAAUGCAGGAAAAAGUGAAA